rnacentral:rRNA from 1 species
GACGAACGCUGGCGGCGUGCUUAACACAUGCAAGUCGAACGGAAAGGCCCUGCUUUUGUGGGGUGCUCGAGUGGCGAACGGGUGAGUAACACGUGAGUAACCUGCCCUUGACUUUGGGAUAACUUCAGGAAACUGGGGCUAAUACCGGAUAGGAGCUCCUGCUGCAUGGUGGGGGUUGGAAAGUUUCGGCGGUUGGGGAUGGACUCGCGGCUUAUCAGCUUGUUGGUGGGGUAGUGGCUUACCAAGGCUUUGACGGGUAGCCGGCCUGAGAGGGUGACCGGCCACAUUGGGACUGAGAUACGGCCCAGACUCCUACGGGAGGCAGCAGUGGGAAUAUUGCACAAUGGGCGGAAGCCUGAUGCAGCAACGCCGCGUGCGGGAUGACGGCCUUCGGGUUGUAAACCGCUUUCGCCUGUGACGAAGCGUGAGUGACGGUAAUGGGUAAAGAAGCACCGGCUAACUACGU